rnacentral:rRNA from 1 species
UACGUUCCCGGGCCUUGUACACACCGCCCGUCAAGUCAUGAAAGUCGGUAACACCCGAAGCCGGUGGCCCAACCUUAGGGAGGGAGCCGUCGAAGGUGGGACUGGCGAUUAGGAC